UCCUCCGUCUCCAACGCAAUCCGCCGCCGCUGUCUCCUCCCAUCACCGUCUCGCAUCCCGUCGCUUCCGCCAUCGGCCGAUUGAUGAGUGUUUCCCGUUUCUUCGUGCGCCGUCCCUCCCCGCACUCAAGCACGCGUACACCCAUCUUCCUUGCCUCAGCCCACGAACCCUAGACGCCACGGAGAUGGAGCAUCUCCGCCGCCUCGCCCAGUUCUUGCUCGCCUCAGCUCGCGGGGAUGGAGCAGGACAGCGCCACCCGUCCCCUCGCACCAUGCCCAGGACGGCGGCGCCGUGGACGGCUGGGCGCACGACGGCACGGAGCCCCCCUCCCUUACGGCGCCCCGGCAGAGUGCCCGGAGGCCGCAGAUCCUCCUCUUUGUCGGCGCUUCCGCGGCCACGUCUCCGCUGCCGCCUCCGCGUGCGCGACCCUCAACUACCACGCGGUGGGGAGGGAGGCCUGCGACGACCUUGACGCCUGCUCCGUCGACCACAACUACUGCGUCCGCAAGAAAGGCGCAUGGAUUGGGGAUAUGUACUUCGGUUUGGGUUUAAAGGGGCAAUCUUUGAGCAUUUGUAUCAACUAUCAAGGAUCUCAAGUUGACAUGGAUCGCCCUAUGAUCAAGUGCAUUAUGGUGCUAUGAUGAUUGUGACAGAAGAUGUUAGCUGCAGAAGCAAUCGCUAUGUCUCAGCUCCAAUAUUAAAAAUCAGUGCACCUGAAUUAGGACACACUUUUUCUCAUCUGGAACUGCGCUUUAAGGUGUUUGGUCUGAAAGCUACGCUCCUGAAUACAAUGUGAUAUAAAAGGUUCAUGAAAUCACCAGGUAUGGAAAUGCUUGACCAUUUUUGUAAAUUACUUAGUACAAUAUUAUCAGUUUGUUUUUUGCAUUAUUUCCCAGUUCUCUUGCAGUACUAUUCAACAACCUAUCUUCCUGCCUACUACAUAUAAGAGGGUUUUUGUUUACUUAACAUGGUUGCCUGAUUAACAUAGUCAUGGUUUCUGUUAGUUAUUUUUCCACUACCGAAGCAACAGUUAUCUUCCUACCUACCAGAUAUACUACUACUUGAGUUCUUAGUUACCGGCUUAAGAAGCUCCACGAUUCUUUUAUAUGAUAUUAAAAAAAAAUAAGUUCUAACUUUGUGGAAAGACACGCACGGUUCUGAUGUUCUGGGGCCAAUGUCCAUUUCUAGAGGCAAAUACUCUCAGAUUUCUUAGUGAACUAUAAUCCCAUCUAGAUAACCCCCCUCGAUAUAGCUCCCUUUAUUUGCACGACACAAUCUAGCAUAUGACGGUUCUGAUUUGGAUUGUGCGUGUUUCUCCAAAAACUAGGAUUAUAUACCUGAGAACAAACAAGUAACGUUAUAAACUUACCUCAAAGCCUAUGGGUUGACUGAAGCUUGAUAAAUAGUUUCAGAUGCACUAUGGUCUCGUAACAGUAGAAAUAAGCUUCGAGGGAAAGAGAACCACAAGUAUAGGUGACUGCAUAGUAGAAGAUGUGUAAUCGUGUUGCACUAUAGUGUCUUUAUAGAAGCCGACAAAAUCAGAGACAUCCUAAAUUUUGUUUUAUGUUCUUGUCAGUUAAGAAAAGAAACAUUAACUCUUGGAUUAUCAGUAAGGGAAUAUGCCUUAUUAGCACACUCUUAUGGUGGUUAUUAUGAGCCUUCACAAAGGCAAUGUACUUAGAGUCAUCGCAGUGAUGAUCGACAUAUAGAAGGAGAGUUUGACGAGGGAGAUGGCUCAUUAGAAGGAUCCACAACACGUGGACCACAAGUGUAGUGAAGAAGAUGAUAAGGGGGAAUCAUCGGGGAAACCUCAUGGAUGAGCGAGGUGAGGUAGCCUCAGGUAAUGAACGAGGUGGGGAAGCCGCAUGUGGCGACGUGUGGGGUCUACAACAGUAGUACGGGAAGAUAAGCUGGGAUAGGUGGGCGAGGGCAAUAAAUGAGUGAUAAGUGUAUCGGGAAAAUUGAGGGAAGAAAUAUUGUCAAUGCAGGAGGCCGAAGGAGAGGAUGGACUCGGAUAGAAAGGACGAGACUCAAUCAAAAGUCACAUAUCAAGAAAUACCCAUCCGACGACUAACAAGAUCCCAACAUCGAUAGCCCAUUGUGCUUAUCACUGUAAUUUAAGAAGACACAUUCAACAGAUUGAUCAAAUAGUUUGGUGCGUGACGAACGUAGCAAACACAACCAAACAAAUAAAGUGUUGAGUAGUUAGGAGAGAAUGCUCACAAAGACACUCGAGAGGAAUGUCGCCCUGUAGAGCUGAGGAAGGAUGAAUGUUGAUGAGAUAGGUGGCUACGGUCAUCACGAAGGUGACGAUGCUUGCGCUCAACAACCCCAUUCUAAGCAUGAGCACCAGGACAAGAGAACUGAGCAAGUGUGCUUUGCUCAACAAGGAAUCUGCACAACAAAUGAGAGCGAUACACACAAGCAGAAUCUGCACGAAAGACAUGGAUAGUAGCGGAAAACUGGGUAUGAACCAAGGUGGCAAACUUCUUAUAGAUAGAUAAGACCUCACUACAAGAAGACAUAAAAUAUAUCGACUUGUGUCAAGGGAAAUAAUUGUAAAGAUAAUAUAGUGGCGAUGGCCUCCUUUCGAGGCGAAGAGAGCUGGGUCCCAAACAUUAGAGUGAAGAAGAUUGAAAGGACACCGAGGCACAGUCUCGCUAUGAGGAUACGGUAACUGAACGUGUUUACCUAGCAGACAAACUUGACAUCUAAAGUUACAUUGCGAGGCCGUGCGAGUCACAACGUCGAGGGCCAACACCAAAUAGAGCACCCAUGUGCAAAUCCUAAAUUAGAACAAGAGCCAAAGUCAAGAAUAUUGGAGUAACAGAAAUAUUGUUUGUGUUAGAUUCAAUGAUACAUCUGCUUGGAUUCCAGGACGGAGUUAAACUUGAGAUUGGGCACUUGGAUUUGUGAUAUUUUGACAUGAGCUUGAAACUCGAACUUUAGGGUGUAGCAUGAUGAACCUAAGAUAUAUUGAAUUUAUAUAGGUAUAGUAUGAUUAGCAUGAAUGCGGUAUUUCUGGACUAUUGGAUCAUCUUGGAUAUUACUAGUUGGAUUCUAGGUUAAAGAUAACUUGAGCAGUUGGAUUUGUGAUAUUUUGACCUAAGCUUGGUAGCUUGUACCAUAUGGUUAUGAGCAUGCAGAUGAUACGAUCGUAGUUGGUAGACCGUGAUGAUUUUGCUAACCCUCCCCAAGAAUGUUACAAGUACAAGAUCAUCAUGGGAGGAUGAUUUGGAUUAAUUAGAAUAGAUGACAAUUUCAGUGGUAUGAGCCUUGUUGGAGCAGCUGAUGUUGCUUUUAUUAUGUUUUUGUGCUCCUUUAGAUGCAGUAGUAGGAGGGUAGGACUUAUGAAGUGAUACUAUAUUGAUGGAUAAAUAGAUCUUUAAUAACCUUGAAACUGGAGGACUUUAGGGUAGGACUUAUGAAGUUUGGAUUUACUUAUAUGAUAGUGAUCUUGAAAAAAAUCUGCUGGAUAAAUAACUUCUAAUAUUUUUGGAUCUAUAGUCAUCCAGUGGAAGCUUGCUUCAUACUGGACUUAGAUAACCAUGAUAAUGGGCUUGGUUGAAUCAUAGUUAUGAUUUGUACUAGAUGCACACUUUUAGAGAUUGAAACUAGAGAACUUUAGGGUGUAGUAUGAUCAAUUGAAGAUAUAUUGGAUUUAAUAUGAAUAUAAUAUGAUCAACAUGAUUUUGAAAAUUGAUGGAAGAAAAAAAAGAUAUUUGAGUAAUAGAAAUGUUGUUUGUGUUAGGUUCAAUGAUAUAUCUGCUUGGAUUCUAGUUCUAGGUCGGAGUUAAACUUGAGAUUGGGCACUUGGAUUUGUGAUAUUUUGACAUGAGCUUUAAAAUUGGAGAACUUUAGGGUGUAGCUUGAUCAACCUGAGAUGUAUUGAAUUUAUAUAGGUAUAGUAUGAUUAGCAUGAAUGCGGUAUUGGUGGACUAUUGUAUGAUCUUGGAUAUUACUAGUUGGAUUCUAGGUUGGAGAUAACAUGAGCACCUGGAUUUGUGAUAUUUUGACCUAAGCUUAGUAGCUUGUAUGCGCCCCAUAUGGAUGAGCAUGGAGAGGAUACAAACGGAUUGUAGUUUGUAGACUUCGAUGAUUUGCUAGCUUCCCCAAGAAUGUUACGAGUACAAGAUCAUCAUGGGAGGAUGAUUUGGAAGCAACUGAUCUUGCUUUUAUUAUGUGUUUGUGCUCCUUUAGAUGCAGUAGGAGAAGGAGGCUAGUAGUUAUGAUGUGAUAUUAUAUUGGUGGAUAAAUACAUCUUUAACAACAUUGGAACAGUUUGGAUUUACUUAGAUGAUUGUGAUCUUGAAAACAAAUCUGGUGGGCAAAUAACUUCUAAUAUUUGGAUCUAUAGUAAUCCAGUGGAGGCUGAGGUAGUUGGAGAGGACCGAUGAGAAAGCACAUGAGAAGCUUUACUCGAUCUCCUGAAGACCGACAUUGCCGUAACGGCUUGGCGCAAAGGCCGAUGCGGCUGACAGGGUUUUCACCCUCUCACACACCUCUCGUGCAUUCUUCAUUUCCCGCCAAUUCGGCUUGGUAUCCUUUCCUUGUUUGUGGGUUCCGUGCCACUGACUUGAUUCAACAUCACACGUUCUCCUGCCGUGCGUCUUUGGCCUUGGCGGUAGGUAACGUCGUGCGCUCGGGCUGUGUCUCGUGGGUUAGCCAUUGCGGUGCCAACUGCCUGUGUGGCUAUGGCGGCGCCCAGUAAGGAAACAUGAGAUGUGGGAUUGAGGCAUCGCACAUAGCAACCCGAAGCUAGGCAAAGGAUGCCGGUCAGACUGGCAGGGAGUGGAUUGCACAUGAGGUAUGGUGGAAGGGAUGGAAACGUUGGUGGGAGCGGAUUGUCAUUGUCGUUGUACCUGGUGCCAAGCGUCGAGGGGAUGGUGAUUGGGGAUGUGGGAAGAUGGUUGGAUCAUAGUUAUGAUUACUACCUUUAGAGAUUGAAACUGGAGGACAUUAGGGUGUAGUAUGAUCAAUCAGAGAUAUAUUGAAUUUAUAUGAGUGUAAUAAAUUGAUUAACUAUUACAUCAUCUUGGAUUGAAAUAGUAGGAAGAAAGCAAAGAUAUUGGAGUAAUAGAAAUGUUGUUUGUGUUAGGCUCAAUGCUAUUUCUGCCUGGAUUUUAGGUUGGAGUUAAACUUGAAAAUUGGCACUUGGAUUUGUGAUAUUUUGACAUGAGCUUGAAACUGGAGAACUUGGUGUAGCAUCAUCAACCUGAGAUGUAUUGGAUUUAUAUAGGUAUAGUAAUGAUCAGCAUGAAUGUGGUAUUGGAUGGACUUGGAUAUUACUAGUUGGAUUCUAGGUUGGAUUUGUGAUAUUUUGACCUAAGCUUAGUAACUUGUACGUGCCCCAUAUGGAUAUAAGCAUGGAGAUGAUACAAAUGGAUCGUAGUUGGUAAACUCUAAUGGUUUUGCUAGCCCUCCCAAAUAAUGUUACGAGUACAAGAUCUUGGGAGGAUGAUUUGGAUUAGUUAGAAUAAAUGACAAUUUCAGUGGUAUGAGCCUUGUUGGAGCAACUGAUCUUGUUUUUAUUAUGUGUUGGUGUUCCUUUAGAUGUAGUACGAGGAGGAGGGUAGUACUUAUGAAAUGAUAUUAUAUUGGUGGAUAAAAGCCCGAUGCGGCUGACAGGGUUUUCACCCUCUCCCACACCUCAUGUGCAUUGUUCAUUCCUGCCGAUUUGGCUGGGUGUCCUUCCCUUGUUUGCGAGUUCUGUGCUAAUGAUUUGAUCCGGCAUCACACGUUCUCCCGCCGUGCGUCCUUGGCCUUGGCGGUAGGUAACGUUGUGCUCUCGGGCUGUGUCUCGUGGGUUAGCCAUUGCGGUGCCGACUGCCUGUGUGGCUAUGGCGGCGCCCAGCAAGGAAACACGAGAUGUGGGAUUGAGGCAUCGCACAUAGUAACCCGAAGCCAGGCAAAGGAUGCCUGUCGGACUGGCAGGGAGCGGAUUGCACCUAAGGUAUGGUGGAAGGGAUGAAAACGUUGGUGGGAGCGAACUGUCAUUUCCGUUAUUCAUUGUACUUGGAGCCAAGCGUCGAGGGAUGAUGAUUGGGGAAGGUGGGAAGAUGGUUGGAUCAUAGUUAUGGUUACUACUAGAUUCACACCGUUUGAGAUUGAAAUUGGAGAACUUUAAUGUGUAGUAUGAUCAAUCGAAGAUAUAUUGGAUUUAUAUGUGUAAUAUGAUCCGCAUGAUUGUGAAAAUUGAUGGACUAUUACAUUAUCUUGGAUUGAACUAGUAAGAAGAAAACAAAGAUACUGGAGUAAUAGAAAUGUUAGAUUUAAAUAUUUAAUGAUAUAUGUGCUUGGAUUCUAGGUCGGAGUUAAACUUGAGAUUGGGCACUUGGAUUUGUGAUAUUUUGACAGCUUGAAACUGGCGAACUUUAGGGUGUAGCAUGAUCAACCUGGGAUGUAUUGGAUUUAUAUAGGUAUAGUAUGAUUAGCACGAAUGCGGUAUUGGUGGACUAUUGGAUGAUCUUGGAUAUUACUAGUUGGAUUCUAGAUUGGAGAUGACUUGAGCACUUGGAUUUGUGAUAUUUUGGCCUAAGCUUAGUAGCUUGUAUGUGCUCCAUAUGGAUAUGAGCAUGGAGAUGAAACAAAUGGAUCGUAAUUGGUAGACUUUGCUGAUUUUGCUAGCCCUCCCCAAGAAUGUUACAAGUACAAGAUUAUCAUGGGACGAUGAUUUGGAUUAAUUAGAAUAGAUGACAAUUUCAGUGGUAUGCGCCUUGUUGGAGCACCUGAUCUUGCUUUUAUUAUGUGUUUGUGCUCCUUUAGAUGCAGUAGUGGAAGGAGAGUAGUACUUAUGAAGUGAUAUUAUAUUGGUGGAAAGAUAGAUCUUUAAUAACCUUGGAACAAUUUAGAUUUACUUAGUUGAUUGUGAUCUUGAAACAAAAUCAGAUGGAUAAGUAAAUUCUAUUUUUUUGAUCUAUAGUGAUCCAGUGAAAGCUUGCUUUAUACUGGAUGAAUACCAUGAUAGUGGGCUUGUUUGGAUCGUAGUUAUGAUUUGUACUAGAUGCACACCUUUAGAGAUUGAAACUAGAGAACUUUAGGGUCUAAUAUGAUCAAUCGGACAUAUAUUGGAUUUAUAUGUGUAAAUAUGAUCAGCAGGAUUGGUAGGUAACGUCGUGCUCUCGGGCUGUGUCUUGUGGGUUAGCCAUUGCGAUGCCGACUGCCUGUGUGGCUAUGGCGGUGCCCAGCAGGGAAACACGAGAUGUGGGAUUGAGGCAUCGCACAUAGUAACCCGAAGCCAGGAAAGGACGCCGGUCGGGCUGGCAGGGAGCAAAUUGCACAUGAGGUAUGGCAAAAGGGAUGAAAACGUUGUUGGGAGCAGAUUGUACUUGGAGCCAUGCGUCGAGGGGAUGGCAAUUGGGUAAGGCAGGGAGAUGGUUUUAUCAUAGUUAUAUUACUACUAGAUGAUUGGAUAGCUUGUAUGUGUCCCAUAUGGACAUAGCAUGAAGAUGAUACAAACGGAUUGUAGUUGGUUGACUUUGAUGAUUGCACAUGAGGUAUGGCGAAAGGGAUGAAAACGUUGUUGGGAGCAGACUGUACUUGGAGCCAAGCGUCGAGGGGAUGGCGAUUAGGUAAGGCGGGGAGAUGGUUUUAUCAUAGUUAUAUUACUACUAGAUGAUUGGAUAGCUUGUAUGUGUCCCAUAUGGACAUAGCAUGAAGAUGAUACAAACGAAUUGUAGUUGAUUGACUUUGAUGAUUUUGCUAGCCCUACCCAAGAAUGUUACGAGUACAAGAUCAUCUUAGGAGGAUAAUUUGAAUUAAUCAGAAUAGAUGACAAUUUCAGUGGUAUGAGCCUCGUUGGAGAAGCUGACCUUGCUUUUACUAGUAAUAAUGUACGUGCAAUGCACGUUUAUAUUACGUAGGAUAUUAGUUGCACAUUGAUAUUUGGUAAGAUAUCAAUUACUUCUUCACGAGAAUGGUAGGAUAUUAAUUACAUGGCAGAUUUCAUAGGAUAGCGUUGAGUCAAAACAUGUUUAUACCCAAUGGUAGUGGUGGGUAAUUAGAGCGUUAAACGUGUUUGUUGCUCAACAUUGUAGCGAUUUGAACCGCUAGAUAACAUGAUUUGACGGUUGAGAUGGUUUGGAUCUGCCCCUUUGAGUCUUUUUAUAUUGGUAUAGAUUAUGUGUUUGUGCUCCUUUAGAUACAGUAGUACUCCCUUCGUCUAGGUGAGUAAGUCAUCUAGGAUGUGCACCGUGAUCAAGGAGGAGGAGAAAAUGAGAGAC